CGGUAGUGAUCACUUUCCUGAGCAUUGAUAGUAACACUCCGCAACAUCUAGUUAAAGAGAUCAGCCCAUCUCAGCCUACAAUCAGACUGCACACUUGGUUUCUUCCUGCCUCCAUUGAACGUCCAUAUCUCUCAGAAUGUUGCCAUCCCGUACUACAGCCUACCGGUUGAUGUACGAAAGCUAUCUGUGAACGUGAAAACGACACAGGAGGCGGCCGAAAGGGCCCACAAGACACUCAUCAGCCGGCGAUUUAAGGUUGUGCAUAUGCCAUCGGUGGUUGGAAGAGGAGCCAAAAUGGUAAAGGCAAGGAUUGUAGCAGUGGGCGAGAGGAUGUUGAGCCUAGCAAUGCCACUGGGGACUGCGUUGAUUAGAUGCAGAGAAUCAAGAGCUAGCUAAAAACGUUUAGCAUAUUGAUCAAAGCGAAGAGAAAGGGUGCACUGCAGGCCAAGCAAUACAAAGAGGGCAGGAGGGACCACAAGCAGCGCUGCUUCUAUAUUACCCGUUCCAGGAGACGCUUUGCUGUAUUACUGACAUACAGUGGAGAGGAAUUCAUGUCAUCAACAAAGUUUUGAUCCAAAAGAACAUCUCCUGAACCAUCAGCUGCGGAAUUGUAUCUAGCAUGUAAAGCUCCCUUAAGAUCAUACUGGCGAGUAAUGUUUCGACCAAAGGUAAGAUUCUCCAUGACCAUUAGAUCAUGCUUGAUCUCUUUCCCGCUUUUUGUCUGUCUAAGGAUCACCUGAAAAAUUGCAUGGAAAUAAUUAAGUUUUUGAAGAACAAAGCUAAAAGGAUAAAAAGUUAUGAAAUCAAGAAACCAAACCUGAUAAAUCCCCAGAACUUUUGCAAGGCAAGUUUGGUUUCCCGACUCAAAUGACUCGUUCAUGUAUUUGAAAUAAUGUGGAGCAAACUUCACAAAUGACUCAAAUUCUGUCUUCUUGAUUUCCUUUAUAAUAAAUCUGUCAUCAAGUGUCUUUGCAAAAAAGGAUUUGCUCUUUCCACCUUUUGCAUCCCAAUUCUUACAACGACUUAAGGAAGCGAUAUAAUCAAGUUCAGAUGGACAGCAUCGAUUCCGAAGAUCAUGGAACUGCUUAGCAUAUAGACAAAUUACUGAGUAUUUACCCUUUCCAAGUGAUUUUGACCGCCCAAAAGCGACUUCAGGGCUAAGAUUUUCUAGACGAACAAGUGAUUCCAACAAAUUCAGCCCAUCAAAGCUGGACAAGCGCGACUCGUCCGAAGAAAUGUUUAGCAUAGAAUGGACAGAAUCUGUAUCAGAACCAUUAGAGGACCAAUGUGGGGAGAUCAUUGUAGGAAUUCGAGUAAGUAUGUCUAAACUAUCAGUUGAUUUCAAAGACAUGUUACCCUCUUUCCUAUCAUCUUCAUUGUAAAGCUCUGUUGAAAUAGGUUGACCUUUCAAAAAUGCCAGUGCACAGGCAAUUAUGCUAGAGAGUUCAUCAUCAUAAUCUUUCACCAUAUAAUUAUCAGUUCCAAGAGGGAUGUGCAGCCUCCGGCAUUCCUCAGUGAUUAGCUGAUGGGCUGCAGACAUGUGUUCCUGAAUAUUGCUACUGAUAGGCUGAAAUUUUGGCAUGAAACCUCUCUGAAGAUCCUUCAUGUAGAUCUGUCGGAUUUCUGGAAAUGGCAUCCAGAACCAUCCAUUUGAGUUCUCUAAGCUGGAUGCCAAAGAACGUGCAGACGUACCCUUUUUAAUUGAAUCAGAAUCAACAAAAGAAUCACUGCUCCCUAUACCUGUAGUAAUUGGAAUGGUUCUUUCAACUUGUACAUCAGAUAAAUAAUCUGCUUGGCAAUUUCCAUCAUCAGAAUGCUGGUGGGCAGAGCCACUAGGUUUCACAGAUAGUUCUUGGUUGAUAAAUCUGUUCUGGCUCAGACCACUCACUCUUGACCUCUCAAUAUCCUCAGCCACAGCAGAUGAGGUGUAAAGAUUAUCCUGCUUCCUAAAUUCAUGAACAUGAUCAUCAACUGGAAUUUCUUUGAUUGAAAA